rnacentral:rRNA from 1 species
AGGAUUAACGUUGGCGGCGUGCAUAACACAUGCAAGUUGAGCGUGGCUUUAGUUUACUAAAGUCUAGCAGCGGACGGCUGAGUAAUGCACAGGAACGUACCUCGAAGUGGGGGGAUAGCCCUUCGAAAGAAGGGGUAAUACCGCAUGUGAUCGUAAGAUCAAAGCCGCAAGGCGCUUUGAGAGCGGCCUGUGUCCUAUCAGAUUGUUGGUGGGGUAAUGGCCUACCAAGUCUAUGACGGGUAGCUGGUCUGAGAGGAUGACCAGCCAGAUCGGGACUGAGACACGGCCCGAACUCCUACGGGAGGCAGCAGUUGGGAAUUUUUGCGCAAUGGACGAAAGUCUGACGCAGCGACGCCGCGUGGAGGAUGAAGGUUUUCGGAUCGUAAACUCCUUUUGCGAGGGAGUAAUUUGUGAACGUACCUCGCGAAUAAGCACCGGCUAACUCCGCGCCAGCAGCCGC